rnacentral:lncRNA from 1 species
CAGAAAAGCAUUUUGCUCUGGGAAUUCAAACCACGAUCCUAGCUCACUGGCAGACAUCUGCUGUUCACUGAUAGCACCAUCUGACCAGAAUCUGAUAAAGUUGGGUACUCAUUGCUGCAACUCUGGAGCAAGAUGCUUAACCUGUAACUUGAGUUGGAUCUCUGCCGCUUAUAACCAAGAGUCACCACCAACCAGAGCCACGUGCUUGCUGAAGGUAGCUUCAUUAGUUAAUCACUAAUUCUAUUGCUGCGUCUUUUGGCAAAUAUCAUAGGUAUCUACUGUCCUUUGUCUGGUAAACUUCCACCCUUCUGUCAAACUUUGUCUCAGUAUCACCUCUUCUAUGAAAUCUUCCCAUUACACCUGGUGCCUGAUUC